AUACGGAGGAUCCGAGCGUUAUCCGGAUUUAUUGGGUUUAAGGGAGCGUAGAUGGAUGUUUAAGUCAGUUGUGAAAGUUUGCGGCUCAACCGUAAAAUUGCAGUUGAUACUGGAUAUCUUGAGUGCAGUUGAGGCAGGCGGAAUUCGUGGUGUAGCGGUGAAAUGCUUAGAUAUCACGAAGAACUCCGAUUGCGAAGGCAGCCUGCUAAGCUGCAACUGACAUUGAGGCUCGAAAGUGUGGGUAUCAAACAGGAUUAGAUACCCUGGUAGUCCACACGGUAAACGAUGAAUACUCGCUGUUUGCGAUAUACGGCAAGCGGCCAAGCGAAAGCGUUAAGUAUUCCACCUGGGGAGUACGCCGGCAACGGUGAAACUUAAAGGAAUUGACGGGG
rnacentral:rRNA from 1 species